CGUUGCUUAUAAUGCAAGUCGGACGGACGAUACAGAGGUGGCAACACUUUUGUAAAGUCAGUGGCGAACGGGUGAGUAACGCGUAGGUAAUCUACCUUAGAGAUCAGAAUAACCUUCCAAAAGGAAGGCUAAUACUGAAUAUUUUAUAUUAACCAUAUGAUUAAUAUAAAAAAGGUAGCCGCAAGGCCUCCGCUUUAAGAUGAGCCUGCGUCCUAUUAGUUUGUUGGUAAGGUAAUGGCUUACCAAGGCUAUGAUGGGUAGCCGGCCUGAGAGGGUGACCGGCCACACUGGGACUGAGAUACGGCCCAGACUCCUACGGGAGGCAGCAGUAGGGAAUAUUGCGCAAUGGGCGAAAGCCUGACGCAGCGACACCGUGUGAAGGAUGAAGGUCUUCGGAUCGUAAACUUCUGUCAAUUGAAGACGAAGGUAACAGGGUUAAUAGCUCCUGUUACUGACGGUACUCAAUAAGGAAGUCUCGGCUAACUCCGUGCCAGCAGCCGCGGUAAGACGGAGGAGGCAAGCGUUGUCCGGAAUUAUUGGGCGUAAAGAGCGCGUAGGUGGUUUUCCAAGUCAUAUGUGAAAACUUCAGGCUCAACCUGAAGAUUGCAUAUGAAACUGGAUAACUUGAGUACAGCAGAGGAAAGUGGAAUUCCUGGUGUAGCGGUGAAAUGUGCAGAUAUCAGGAAGAACACCAGUGGCGAAGGCGGCUUUCUGGGCUGUUACUGACGCUGAGGCGCGAAAGCUAGGGGAGCGAACAGGAUUAGAUACCCUGGUAGUCCUAGCUGUAAACGAUGGACACUAGGUGUGGGAAGUUAUCGACGCUUUCUGUGCCGUAGCUACGCAUUAAGUGUCCCGCCUGGGGGAGUACGGCCGCAAGGCUAAACUCAAAGGGAAUUGACCGGGCCCCGGCACAAAGC
rnacentral:rRNA from 1 species